UGAUCCUGGCUCAGGACGAACGCUGGCGGCGUGCCUAAUACAUGCAAGUCGAGCGAAUCUUUGGGAGCUUGCUCCCAAUGGUUAGCGGCGGACGGGUGAGUAACACGUGGGCAACCUGCCUGUAAGACUGGGAUAACACCGGGAAACCGGUGCUAAUACCGGAUAAUCCAUUUCCUCUCAUGAGGGAAUGCUGAAAGACGGUUUCGGCUGUCACUUACAGAUGGGCCCGCGGCGCAUUAGCUAGUUGGUGAGGUAACGGCUCACCAAGGCGACGAUGCGUAGCCGACCUGAGAGGGUGAUCGGCCACACUGGGACUGAGACACGGCCCAGACUCCUACGGGAGGCAGCAGUAGGGAAUCUUCCACAAUGGACGAAAGUCUGAUGGAGCAACGCCGCGUGAGCGAUGAAGGCCUUCGGGUCGUAAAG
rnacentral:rRNA from 1 species